AGUGAACGCUGGCGGUAGGCCUAACACAUGCAAGUCGAACGGCAGCACAGUAAGAGCUUGCUCUUACGGGUGGCGAGUGGCGGACGGGUGAGGAAUACAUCGGAAUCUACUUUUUCGUGGGGGAUAACGUAGGGAAACUUACGCUAAUACCUCAUACGACCUACGGGUGAAAGCAGGGGAUCUUCGGACCUUGCGCGACUGAAUGAGCCGAUGUCGGAUUAGCUAGUUGGCGGGGUAAAGGCCCACCAAGGCGACGAUCCGUAGCUGGUCUGAGAGGAUGAUCAGCCACACUGGAACUGAGACACGGUCCAGACUCCUACGGGAGGCAGCAGUGGGGAAUAUUGGACAAUGGGCGCAAGCCUGAUCCAGCCAUACCGCGUGGGUGAAGAAGGCCUUCGGGUUGUAAAGCCCUUUUGUUGGGAAAGAAAAGCAGCAGGUUAAUACCCCGCUGUUCUGACGGUACCCAAAGAAUAAGCACCGGCUAACUUCGUG
rnacentral:rRNA from 1 species